UCGGGAAUUUUGGGCAAUGGGGGAAACCCUGACCCAGCAACGCCGCGUGAAGGAUGAAGUAUUUCGGUAUGUAAACUUCGAAAGAAUAGGAAGAAUAAAUGACGGUACUAUUUAUAAGGUCCGGCUAACUACGUGCCAGCAGCCGCGGUAAUACGUAGGGACCAAGCGUUGUUCGGAUUUACUGGGCGUAAAGGGCGCGUAGGCGGCAUGACAAGUCACUUGUGAAAUCUCUGGGCUUAACCCAGAACGGCCAAGUGAUACUGUCGCGCUAGAGUGCAGAAGGGGCAAUCGGAAUUCUUGGUGUAGCGGUGAAAUGCGUAGAUAUCAAGAGGAACACCUGAGGUGAAGACGGGUUGCUGGGCUGACACUGACGCUGAGGCGCGAAAGCCAGGGGG
rnacentral:rRNA from 1 species